rnacentral:rRNA from 1 species
CCCUGAGCGGUGGAUCACUUGGCUCGUGGGUUGAUGAAGAACGCAGCUAAUUGCGCGUCAACUUGUGAACUGCAGGACACAUGAACAUCGACA